rnacentral:rRNA from 1 species
GUCGAACGCUGGCGGCGUGCCUAAUACAUGCAAGUCGAACGCAGUGGGGACGGGUGCGUAACACGUGGCUAACCUCCCAUCAGAGGGGAUAACACUUGGAAACAGGUGCUAAACCGAUACUGGAUGAUGGACCCGCGGUGCAUUAGCUAGUUGGUGAGGUAACGGCUCACCUAGGCUACGAUGCAUAGCCGACCUGAGAGGGUGAUCGGCCACACUGGGACUGAGACACGGCCCAGACUCCUACGGGAGGCAGCAGUAGGGAAUAUUCGACAAUGGACGAAAGUCUGACCGAGCAACGCCGCGUGAGUGAAGAAGGUUUUCGGAUCGUAAAGCUCUGUUGUUAGAGAAGCGGUAUCUAACCAGAAAGCCACGGCUAACUACGUGCCAGCCGCCGCGGUAAUUC